rnacentral:rRNA from 1 species
AAUUUGCUCGAUGUCUAACUUUGAUGACCUGGUGCAUGAGCAUCUUGAAAAGGAAUCUCGGAUGUAACGGGAUCGACUUGAGCUCACCAUGACGUCAAACUAAAGCGCUGAUAGAGGCUUCAACACUCAGUUCCUCUCAGAAAUCCCUGACUUGUAAAUACACGCCUUGUCAGGAUAAAUGUGGAGACUAAAGUCUAUUUAGACAAUUGAGCGGGAGGAAAGCGAGGCUGUCAAUUGGAUCAGGUGAAACUUAAAAUAAUUUAUUCCUAGCUCUCGAUAAGGUGACUGAGAGAUUCAGGAAAAAAAGAUGGGAAAUUCUGGUAAAGGUGAACUAAGGCAAAAGAGGAUUUCCGGAUUCGCCGAUGUGGCAUGAGCUUCAUCAUGCGGUGGGCCACCUGAAGCAGGUGCCACUACUUCCUGCUUUCAUCGAGACAUAACAAUAUCCUUUUGAGUAUGUCAUUCUUCAUCAAAUGUGGCUCUAUAAGAGGCAUAUUUCAAUCCACACUGUGUUUCGCGACGCGGCUUGAGAACAAGCUCACUUGAUGCGCCAAUUCUUAUUUUUUUCAACAAAAUCAUGUAUCAGGUUGUCCUGCUUAUGAAUAUUCCUUUGAGAAUUCCAGAUUGACAGAGAACGGUCGAAUUAAGAACCACCAAAAACGGGCAAUCGUCUGUAGUCUGGAGCGCGCCAAGCAGACCGAUUUGUAGCACUGAGAUACUCGAAGGACUGUCGGAUGGAGAAGGAGCACGUCACUUGCCUCCUCGAUGCAUGCCAAACCGUCAAAGCUAUAGUACAUAUACUGAGGAUGGCAAACACAGGGGGAUAAUACUCUGUAUUAAGUGAUUGUCUGGGGGGAACAAAUCAGCUAGAGCAAGGAGUAAUCAAGGGGGCAUGUGCAUUUGGCAAAGACAGAACUUUCUUUUUAUGUGGAAACCUUCCUAGACUUUCUAUUGCCAUCUUCGAGUGGAUGGCGCUCAAGCGUGUCACCUAUACUUCACCGUCAGGGUUUAAAAUGAUGCUCUGACGAGUAGGCAGGCGUGGUGGUCAGUGACGAAGCCUUGGGCGUGAGCCUGGGUCGAACGGCCACUAGUGCAGAUCUUGGUGGUAGUAGCAAAUAUUCAAAUGAGAACUUUGAAGACUGAAGUGGGGAAAGGUUUCACGUCAACUGUAUUUGGACCUGGGGUAGUCGAUCCUAAGAGAUGGGGUAGCUCCGUUUCAAAGCGCCUGAUUUUUUUAGGCCGCCAUCGAAAGGGAAUCCGGUUAAUAUUCCGGAACCUGGAUAUGGAUUCUUCACGGUAACGUAACUGAAUGUGGAGACGCCGGCACAAGCCCUGGGAGAAGUUCUCUUUCCUUCUUAACAGCUUAUCACCCUGGAAUUGGUUUAUCCGGAGAUAGGGUUUUAUGGCUGGAAGAGCGCAGUACCUUUGCUGCGUCCGGUGCGCUUGUGAUGGUCCUUGAAAAUCCACAGGAAGGAAUAGGUUUCAUGCCAGGUCGUACUCAUAACCGCAGCAGGUCUCCAAGUUGAACAGCCACCAGUUGAUAGAAUAAUGUAGAUAAGGGAAGUUGGCGAAAUAGAUCCGUAACUUCGGGAUAAGGAUUGGCUCUAAGGAUCGGGUGACCUGAGCCUUUACCAGACGCGUUGCGCUUCGUUGCGGACUGCCCAGGAGCAAUCUUGGGUGGACCGCUUUGAGGUUGUCAGGGUUGACGGUUUAGGUAGGUCCUACGUGGUCCGUCGCGGGGCACGCUUAACGAUCAACUUAGAACUGGUACGGACAAGGGGAGUCUGACUGUCUAAUUAAAACAUAGCAUUGCGAUGGUCAGAAAGUGAUGUUGACGCCAUGUGAUUUCUGCCCAGUGCUCUGAAUUUCAAAGUGAAGAAAUUCAACCAAGCGCGGGUAAACGGCGGGAGUAACUAUGACUCUCUUAAAAUAGCCAAAUGCCUCGUCAUCUAAUUAGUGACGCGCAUGAAUGGAUUAACGAGAUUUCCACUGUCCCUAUCUACUAUCUAGCGAAAUCACAGCGAAGGGAACGGGCUUCGCAAAAUCAGCGGGGAAAGAAGACCCUGUUGAGCUUGACUCUAGUUUGACAUUGUGAAAAGACAUAGAGGGUGUAGAAUAAGUGGGAGCUUUGGCGCCGGUGAAAUACCACUACCUUUAUCGUUUUUUUACUUAUUCAAUUAAGCGGAGCUGGACUUCAUUGUCCACGUUCUAGCAUUAAGGUCUCAUUGUAGGCUGAUCCGGGUUGGAGACAUUGUCAGGUGGGGAGUUUGGCUGGGGGGCACAUCUGUUAAACGAUAACGCAGGUGUCNNNNNNNNNNNNNNNNNNNNGACGGCGUUAUCGAAAGGUUACGUUGACAUUAGUGGCAUGAUAUGUAGGAAGAAUACAGGUCUCAUGCAAUGCUCACACCCGUACACCAUAUAAAGCUUGACAGCUCCUUUGUGGUGGUCGCCAUUAGUCAAAAGAGUGAAAGUAACUUUAGCAACUGCAAAAAACUCUCUUUAUUGAAGGAAAAAUUCCUAGUGGUCACAUUCACCCCACAGAAACGUUCUCUUCUUCAUUUUCGUACAUAUAUUUAUAUCUGUAAAGUCGCAAAUAGUACAUACAUCGACAGUAUCACCCGUACCUCAGUCACCAGUGACACAGGCAUAUACAGCUUCCUCACACCAUCCUGAGAACUUUCCUACUUUGAGCUCACACUUCCGCUUCGCUUCAGUGUUCGCUUCAGUGUUCGCUCAUAAAAGGUCGUGCACGGCCGAACCUUCAGACCCUUUACAUGAACGCUGUGUUUGAGCUCCUUUCCAGUGCUGACUUCGAUGGCGAAAAA